rnacentral:lncRNA from 1 species
UUAUAUUAUUAGUAAGGGAAUCCAAUACAUGACGUUCAGAGUGCAUAUGUGCUUAGAAUAUUCAUAAACUCAUAUACAGUUUUAUCCAAGAUUACUAGCUUAAGGAUGACUUAAGAAUAAAUUCGUGAAAAUUUCUUUGAAAUUCCUCGAACUAGGUUCUCAAUCCCUUUUGCUCACGAACCCAAAUCCCCAGUUAUGUGAAUUUGUAAAAUUACCAUCAAUUAUUGAUUCUCGACAUUGUUUUAUGAAGAUCGAUAUUCUGUUAUUUUAAUCAAUUUUUGUUAGUUUCACCAUUAAAAUGUCUUGUGAAG